rnacentral:lncRNA from 1 species
CCGAGCUCGGCCUGCGCGUUCCCGGGCGGCGGGCGGCCCCCGCGGCGGUGUCCAGCGCAGGGCCUGGGAGAGCCAGCGUCCAUCGUAGGUCCCGCCUCUGCACCCCUGCCCUGCAAGACUUCGUCUGUGUUUAAUGGUUAUUUUAUCUUAUGAAUAAAUUAGCGUUUAUGGACACGGCAGUAAAUUGGGAAGUUGGGCUUUGGAUGUUAAUUCUUUGCAUCUGAAACUCAUUGAAACGUUUUGACGUGAACCAUCGACAUCUAGAUCGUCCGCUUCUAAGUUUCCCAGGAUGCGUCUCUCUUCAGAUCAAGAGGAACUGUACUCAAGGGGCUAUAUUUAAGGAACUGUACCUAAGAAGUUCAUCUGUACCUGGUCCUGAAGCCUCAGCCCGACAUUGUGGGUAUUGAGGAAUGAGUAUAUUUUGCAUGUGGGAGAGAUACGAACUGCUGUGGCUAGAAGGUGCACUGUG